ACGCUAAUAGUCUAGUGGUAGGACUUCACCCUUCCAAGGUGGGAACCCGGGUUCAAAUCCCGGUUAGCGUA
rnacentral:tRNA from 1 species